UACAGAGGGUGCAAGCGUUAAUCGGAAUUACUGGGCGUAAAGCGUGCGUAGACGGUCAUGUAAGUCGGGUGUGAAAGCCCCGGGCUCAACCUGGGAAUUGCAUUCGAGACUGCAUGGCUGGGGUGCGGAAGAGGGGAGCGGAAUUUCCGGUGUAGCGGUGAAAUGCGUAGAUAUCGGAAGGAACACCAGUGGCGAAAGCGGCUUCCUGGUCCAGCACCGACGUUCAGGCACGAAAGCGUGGGGAGCAAACAGG
rnacentral:rRNA from 1 species